CCUACGGGAGGCAGCAGUGGGGAAUAUUGGGCAAUGGGCGCAAGCCUGACCCAGCAACGCCGCGUGAAGGAAGAAGGCCCUCGGGUUGUAACCUUCUUUUAUUCGGGACGAAACACAUGACGGUACCGAAUGACUACGCCACGGCUAACUCCGUGCCAGCAGCCGCGGUAAUACGGGGGGUGCAAGCGUUGUCCGGAAUCAUUGGGCGUAAAGCGUUCGUAGGCGGUAUGUCAAGUCUGAUGUUAAAGCCCGGGGCUCAACUCCGGUUCGGCAUUGGAUACUGGCAAACUAGAAUGUGGUAGAGGUAAAGGGAAGUCCUGGUGUAGCGGUGAAACGCGUAGAUAUCAGGAGGAACAUCGGUGGCGAAAGCGCUUUACUGGACCAUUAUUGACGCUGAGGAACGAAAGCCAGGGGAGCAAAUGGGAUUAGAUACCCUUGUAGUC
rnacentral:rRNA from 1 species